CGAUAUCGGACGCCGGGAAAUGUGGUGUUAGGGAGGGUCCAUUAUCCCGAGAUCAUGCGGCGGUCCAAGUCCUUCUUGAACGGGGCCACAGCCCAUAGAGGGUGCCAGGCCCGUAGUGACCGUUGCUGAUCGCGGGAGGAUCUCUCCUCAGAGUCGGGUUGCUUGAGAGUGCAGCUCUAAGUGGGUGGUAAACUCCAUCUAAGGCUAAAUAUGACCACGAGACCGAUAGCGAACAAGUACCGUGAGGGAAAGUUGAAAAGCACUUUGAAGAGAGAGUUCAAGAGUACGUGAAACCGUUUAGGGGUAAACCUGAGAAACCCGAAAGGUCGAAGGGAGAAAUUCAUUCGCGUUUCGAUGUUGGCGUAAGACGGAAUUGUGUGACGGCAAAACGUUUCGGCGUGAUCCGCAUCUUUCGUUUUUCCUGACCUGACAACGAACGCGUGCACUUUUUCUCCUGGUAGGACGUCGCGAUCCGUUGGGCGUCGAUCUAAGGCCCGCGGUGGGAGACCGGACGUGGAUAUUUUUCGAGAUAUUUCGUUCGGACCCGUGGUCGCCCCGGCCGAACUUGCUCGACG
rnacentral:rRNA from 1 species